rnacentral:rRNA from 1 species
GACGAACGCUGGCGGCGUGGAUUAGGCAUGCAAGUCGAACGCGAAAGAGGGAGCAAUCCCUCAAGUAGAGUGGCGAACGGGUGAGUAACGCGUGAAGAACCUGCCUUCAACAGGGGGAUAACACUCCCAACGGGGUGCUAAUACCGCAUGAGACCACGGGUCCGCAUGGACCUGAGGUCAAAGGUGGCCUCUGCUUGCAAGCUACCGGUUGAAGAUGGCUUCGCGUCCCAUAGCUAGUUGGCGGUGUAAAAGACCACCAAGGCGACGAUGGGUAGCUGGUCUGAGAGGAUGGUCAGCCACACUGGGACUGAGAUACGGCCCAGACUCCUACGGGAGGCAGCAGUCGAGAGGCUUUGGCAAUGGGGAAACCCUGACCAAGCGACGCCGCGUGGAGGAUGAAGG